CAGGAACCAUGGGAGGUGCUUGGGUUCUGAGUGGUUUUUGUGGUAGCUGUGUGGAUCAGGCAAGGGUCCUGUUUUACCAAUUGAAAGAGCUGAUUAUAAGGAUGUUUUACUGAAAGUUCUGUUGCAAAAUGAUGCUCAAACAGAGGUUAUGGCAUUUCUCCAGUCAAAGGAUACCAGGAUGAUCCAGCAUGAUCCAGCAAGUGAAGGAAGAUGAGGAGAAAUGUUCACCCAAUUGUGGGGAAAGUUUAAAAUCCUAGGUUCUGUUUUAGAAUUUUCAAGUAUUGAAAGCUAAACCUGACUAUACCGUCAAGUCCAGUGUACCGGGAAAACAAGGAAGUGGAGACUGCCGGUGACGAUGGCCAAGAUUUUUGGAGAUCAAUGGUUUUUGGUGGGCAAACUUCAGAAUAUUGAUGGUCAAUUGUAGUUAAAGAGAACACAAAUCAAAAAUAUAAACAUUAUUUUGUU